GCACUGCCCGGCCGCAGUCUCCUGCCGCUCUGUUUGUUUUCUGUCUCACUUCACUAAAUGCCUCCUAAUUUUUUCCACAAAGAGACAGUGCCUGCCAAGGGCAGCAGUCAUUACAGCUGGAAACACUUCCAGCUGCUGGCUGUCACAAAGAGCCCUACAACAAACAGAAAAGGUUACACGAACCAACACCAGCAACAGGUGGCAACCCUGCUCCCACUUGCGGAGAGCUGCCCUACCCGAUGGGACUGAGAACAGAUGCCACUCUUCCAGCUGGCACAGCACAGCUCCAACCCCCACUCCCACAGGAGUCUGCUGGUGUUUAGCCCAGGCACCAAUUUGGUGGCUGCACGUCCCAAAGGACACAGAAAGGAAGGAGCAAUGUGGGGCUUUGGCCUAAGGACAUCCCUUUUGUUCCUGGGCAUAGAGGAGUCUGUCUUAACCCCACCGAAGUGAUGUGUAAGCAGAAGCAGCAAGACCACAAAAGUGGGCAUAACAAACCAUAAGCUCAAACAUUUGAGCAGGUUCAAAGAGAUGGCACAGUUUUAAUUGCCCAUUCAUGACACACAAAGGCUGUGACAGAUGCUAAGUGACACCCUCAGUGGCCAUGUGCAGCCCCAUUGCCAGCCAAGCCCUGGGAGGUGACUGCAGGGCCAGCUGUCACCAAAACCGCCUAACCUCUGCAGAAAAACCCGCAUUGCAGGACAGCCACACCUGCAAUCAGGCAUUUGUCACCUGCAUUUGGACACUUCCCUACCUCUCCCUUUCCCCACAUCGCUUUUUCCUGCUGUCUUUGCCAAGAGUGAGCACAAUGCAUGCUUAAAUUCCCACUCAACAAUUCCCUGUUGCCACGUAGGCAUGCUAUGGCAUCAUGGAAUUUUAAAAGAAAAACCAUGUAGAAGUGUCCUGGCAGGCCAUAGCCAAGGGGUUGCCAGCAGAUUCACUGCUAAGCACCUCAUGUCCUCCUGACACCACUUGUCAGGGGAUCACUUUGCAGGGAUACUGUCAGUACUUCCCUCAAGCAUGGCCAAGAUGGGACAGGACCAGUUGCCUCACCAGCCCUUCACCCCAUCCCCUACGUCCACUUGCAACACCAGAGUUCUCCUGUCAGGAAGGCUGAUCCAGGGGCCCCUUGAGGUUUAUCUGCAGGCACAGAACAAGCCCAGCACAGGUAUGUAGGCCACAUGAAACCUUGGUGUCCGUGACUCAGCUGGAAGAUAGGGAACACUUACGAGGCUGCCUGCUUCAUGAGAUCUCAUAUGCGUGCCUGAACUCUGACCACGCUGCUUGCAGAUCCUCCUACCUUGUACCGAGGCGCAGGGAAUUCCACCUCCACCUUCAGUCACCUGCUUGAGGACACACGCUUGUAUUUCACAACACAGAUGAGUGUGCACUGUUGUGAACCACCACUGUGGUGCUGAGACAAAAACAAGCCCUCCCAAAACAAGGGUAGGCACAUGCCUUGAGUCAAAGCUCCAUCAGAGGGCAAAAGCAGAUGCUAGGAAAGACUAAAUGUUUUUUUACUUGGGUACAGCUAUGGACUGACUGUUCCCCAGCCUCCAAGCUGGAAGGCUCAUGAUGUUCGUGUGUUUUGCAGCCAUGGUGGCUUUCACUUCUGUGAAGUCCUGCUUCCCCUUUCAACUCAGGAGCUCCUGAGAGGGGGUAGCAGCUCCCCCCACAUGCAGGGCCUCACCCUUGCCUUCAACAUCAAAGGGUGGAUGAACACUGGAGUGGCUGCUUUACAGACCAGGAUUGUAUCCACCCAACAGCACAUUUUCCAAAUAGAAAUUCUAGCUCACUUAGUCAUUCAGGCAUGGCUCCAUGGCUUCAGUCCUCCUUGUUGCUUUUCCCCAAACCUUCCCCAGCUCCUCUAAUCCUUCCAGAGAUGCUGGUGCUGGGGGCACACAGGGACUGUGUGGGGGGGUGAGACACCAAUUUGAAGAGUGGCACAAAGCUUUCCUGCUUUGUUUCUGCUUUGUAACUGGGAAAGAUAAUUUAAUGUGCUUUUUCACGCACACUGAGCUAUCUAAAAUAGCCCCAGGCCUUGCUGUGAGUGGCCAGCUCAUGGCUGGCUCUGUUAAUAAUCUUGUUUGUGAAUUUGGGGCUUCCUCCCUUCCCCCCUUGUCUAUCACUUGAUAUUUAUCUAAACUGAAUUUCAGUUGCCUGGUGUUGUAAUGGCUGUCAGUACUCCUCCUAGCUGGCACUUGUCCCCAUGAACCUAAGUAAUCCAAUCACCUCAGCAAAGCCCUGUCAUCUCAUUGCUCAUUCUCUUUUCCAGGUCACUCAUAAAUGUGUUGAAAAAACAUGUGACCAGUGCAAAGAUCUCUUUUCACUGAAAAAACUGACUGCUGACUCCUACACCUCCUUCCUGUUUUCAUAAUAAUUAUGGAGCCAAGUAAGCACUUUCCCUCUUGACCAGCAAGUUCCCUUAAAAACUGGGCUGAAAGCCGACUGGAAGUUUUUGGGGGCAGCAGUGUGGACACUCUGAGCCCAGACUCCGUAGGAACUGCUACUCCAGUCCUGGGGGCCCCUCCACAGGAGCCUUCCCACCUGCCCACAGGCCCUGUCCUGCACAGACACCCAGGACGUGCAGCAGAUUCAACAGUCAUCUUUUCCCUUGAGUUCCUUCAGCCCUUCUUAGAAAAGAACGUCAUAUUUUUCCCUCCUCCCAGUCCCUGGAGGCUGGAGCAGUUGGAAAUGAAUGACUAGAGGCCACACAUCAUAACCAGCUGCUUCACCCUCCCUUUCCUUCUGGGGAAAAUUGCCUUGCCCAAGACACUUGCUGCUGUUUACCUUUGCUUUCUAACCUUUCCUCUGCAGAUGCUCUGAGGAGCUCCCUAAAGGAAGGUGGAAGAAACUGCUUAGGCUCUAGUAGAGCUAACAGAGAGAUAACAGCCUUGUGAUGCCAUCUCCUCUUCCAGCCCUACUCCUUGCCUGCGUCCUGAGGAGAGAACUUAGCAGGAGAGCAGGAGGUAGCAGGCAGAAGACCUGGAGCGAGCAAGACACCAUGGGGUGAAGAAGGCUAAGUCUGGAAGGCAGUGAGUGUCCUUCAAAACCCAGCCCUGGCUGCUGCAGGGCAGGAGACAUUUUGCCCAGAAUUCUCUUCCCCGUAGAGGCACUUCAGCCCCUCAGGGAGCACGGCUGCUCCCAAGAGCGACGCAAGUCCUUGGGUUGUGUAAUGUCAGUGGCAGCUUGCAGUUCCAGAGGGGUGACACCUCCUCUACAGUGCAUGGAAAGGUAACAAAUUGCACUCGUUUAUUGCCCCACAAACAUGAGCCCUUGCUGCAGGGCCAAGUGGCCUUGCUUCAUCUUGGUAAAGGUGUUGUGUUUGAAGAACCCUCUGCUCCCAAGUGACUCAUGUUAUCAUCUUCACCUCUGCGUGUACAAUAACAAACCUCCUAGAAAAAGCACACAGCUACGAAAACAGUCUGUGCUCCAAACUGGAAACAGCUGUGCUUUGCCCAGCACUGGUCCUGGGCCCACCACUGUAUGACCCACAGAGCUAGAUGUUUCUCCCUUGUGUAAUUCAGCCAAGGAGGAAAGGCAGCCUCGAGUGGGGCCCGGGGGCUUGCUGUGCUCCCACCCUCUCCAUCCCCAAAGCAGCAGCACAGCGCCAAAACACGCUGCUGCUGUUGGCAGAUUGCUGCACUCCCCAAAGCAAAGGGAGGAAGGCAGCCAGCAAAGCCUCUCUCUUACAUAAGGCUGGGAGUCCCAUGGACAUGCUUUCCAGAGCACACUUGUGGGGCUGAAGCUGCCCAGCCCUUUGAGUUUUCUUUCUGGAAACUCGAACGUGCACUACAGGCGAUGCUGUCACCUGGAGCCCAGUUUUUGUAUGCUCUGGUCACAGCUAGUUUGUAACAGGCAGAACAAACAGGCGAAGUGCUCUCCCUUCAGUGACACUUGCUGCCAAACCUUUCACAAAAGCUGCCUUUUUUUUUUUUUUCCCCUCCUUCUUUGUAGCAAUUCCCUGCUUCAACUAAAGCUAUGAAAUCCAAAAGGGGAAAACAAACAAACAGCUGGUUUGGAAAGCAAGAGCAAAAAGGGAGAUUUAUUCCAGGCAGUGGAUAAUGCAUCAUAGAAGCUAAAAGAGUAUUUUUGGUGCCUCUUGGGCAAUAUCUGAGUUUUAGGCUGCAUUUGCAGGCACUUAAUGUUUCCAGAAUCCUUUACACUUGGCACCCACGUCGACCGUUUUCCUUGGAGAUUUGCAAGCACUUUGCAACCAUACAUUAAUUAACCCACCAGCCCUCCUCUGCAAUGAGGUUUCCCUUUCCCUGUAAUUUGCCUGUACUAGGGACAGGGUAAACUGAGGCAUGGCAAGGCCAUCAGCCUGCAGCAGAGCUGAGGCCAGGGGGCUGCAUGCCAUCCAGGUCUCCUUUCCAUUGCAAAACCACCCUUCCCUUUGCAAGCAUGACCCACAGCGACUGCGUUUCCCUCCGCUGGAUGCUGCCUGCCCCAUUCCAGAGGAAGGCACGGGCAGGUCAGCUCACAGAGCCUCUGUGCUGGCCCUCGGUGCCACUGAGCAGAGAAACAGAGAGCCAGUGUGUCUGAAAGGCAGAGCAGGCAGGCAGGAGUGGAAUGGCAAGCAGAUUAGCAGCUGUCCCAUUGCCUGCAUGUGUGACAAGGCAGCCGUAUGGGGAAAGGGGGAAAAGGGGCAUUUUAAUCAGUCACAUGGAGAGAAACAUAGUCAAGUACCAGCAGGUUAUUAAUCUAUUAGCCAAUGGGGGCAAAAAUCCUACUACAGGCUUUUGGUAAUCCAGUUAUGACAAGACUACAGCGAUCAUGGAUGCUUUGAUAAUCAACAAAGCAUCUCAGCCUGUUGCUGAGGCCAGCGAAUGGCUUGGGGAUGGAUCGUUUUAGUUUUGCUAUUCCCUUGCUGGUCCUGACUGACCCUGGAGCAAGGUUCUGGCUGAACAGCUGCUGGCAGACGUUUUUGGGGUGGGAGAUCUCUCCAGUCAUUGCUUGCAGGACUCCUGAUGGUGAUCCCUGGGCUCUUGGUGCCCUGCC